GAUAGUGUGUGUACACGGGCAGCGAGGUGACGCGAAACCGUCUUACUUCGUUGUACAGUAGAGAACGCUCGAACAAGCCGAUCGCUGGUGUAAAACAAGCUGGAGGUGGAGUUGAGAAAGAACACCACAGCCUGAAGCAGCACCUGGAACCUUCUGCUGAUUCAUGCCACCAUAAGAUACGCUCAUUACAAAUGCUGAUGACUAACAGCUGUCAGACUUAGACACAAUCAUCGCCAGGUGUCUCAUCGACGAUAAUUACCAAAACACUGAGCGUUAAUCAAAGGUGAUGGUUUCCUCCGGGUAUUUCGGGUUUCCUCCCGUCGCAUAAAACACUCAACAUGGAUGUACUCAUGUACCUAAAUGUGAAUUUGGGUAUGUUUCAGGACUAGACUUCAUGGUUCUCAAGUGUUUUUACAAGAUCUUAACAAUGUCAAAGCUCAGAGCUGAAAGAGCAAAACUGGUAAAACCGACUGAAAAAAGAAAAAACACGAAAAGCUGGAAUUUCCAUGUGGACUACGAAUAUUUCCAAAUUCAUUCGGUUUUCCGUUCUGAUCUACGAAAAGCUGAUUCGGACCAAAUCCAAAACAUAAACCUUUCUAGUCUUUCAUGUCUGCAAUUGUAAAAUCAACAAAAGGUCUACCGAAUGUACACAUACUCUUGUUUUUGUGUAACAGAGCCGCACCCUUUGGGAAGUCUGUUCUUAGCACACAUGAAAUAAACAUUCCAGAAAGGUGAAUACGAGUCGUUUCAUCGCUCGUCACUGUUGCGCCUUUUUUCCCCCAUCGGUAACAUGCCUGAACCUUGCUCGCCAAUGUGACCUCGAUUCUGAGGUAAAAUUGCAAAUGCGCUGCCAGAGCAGGACAAGAGUGGGAAUUACCAAGUGCCAAGACACUGAGAACUGAUGACUUCAGAAGAAAAACUGGAAAGUAUCUUGAAAAGAACCAAUGGGAAACAGAAGAGAGCAAAACCAUCCAUUUGUUUAUCUCUGUAGUGUUUUGGGAUUCCUGGGUCCAAUCCAAAGACUCACCUUGAAUAAGAAAAUUGGAAAUAUAGUUUCACAUAGCAAAUCUACCUACCGGCAUGUUUUGGGAUAUGAACCUGCAGGAAACCCACAUGGACAUGGCGAGAGCAUGUGAUGAGCUCGGGUACGAACCAGGAGGUUUCAUCAAAUGAAAUUUGAAUAAUCCACAAUUAUGAAAGUUUUUGGAGUGUAUGGAGGUUUUUUCCAGCCCCGAGUCUUUUAUUCUACAUCCAGUUCUACAACACACCCAUCACAGCGAAACAUCUAACUGAUUUGGAACUGCCAUCAACAUCAGCACUACAUGACCAGACACGUCUGCUACUCCGCCAGUCUCUGUCUCUCUGUUUCCUCCAUUAUUAAUGUUUACCAUCUACAACUUCCUUGUGUUUUUUCCUGAAAUACAGACUGAUUCAUAACCAGAUCCCUGUUAGACUUGGAGAAGCUCAGUACACUUACUCAAUAGAGUUCACUCGAACAUUAUAUAUAUAUACUUGUGUAGUGCAUUUACAAAGCGAACAGGAUCAGCUGACACGGAAACUUCUGCAUGUGUAGCUGCCCAAAAUACAGAAGGAGGACGGUUUCUCAUCAACACCUUGGGUGGUUCAAUGAAAUUCCGGAGUAAGAACGGGCGCUUUGAGGAUGGAUUGGACUGUAGGAAUGUCAACAGUCUGCUACAUUGACUCAGGACUUCUUUUCGCUUCUGAUUAUCACCACUGUACCCCAGAACAUCGUAUAUCUGCUAUAAAUAGACAUUCGGUGCAACCCAGAUGAGGAUGAGUCUGGUUCCUCUCAAGGUUUCUCCCUUAUGCCAUCUCGGGGAGUUUUU